AUCAACUUAUAGUAAAGUGCAUUCAAUUUAUGAAGGUUUGUUAGUUUAUUCCAUGUGAACAGCGUUUGCUCCUCCUGUGACAAACAGCAUCUGCAGUUUCCCAGAGGCCCCUGCUCUCCCAGCCGCUCCCCUCCUCCCUCCUCCCUCCUCCCUCCUCCCUCCUCCCUCCUCCCUCCUCCUGCUUCCAUCCUACAUCCUCCCUCCCCAGAACCAGCUGCUGCUCGCUCUCCUUUGCCAUGCAGCUCAGGAUUGCCUAAUGUUGAGCUGGUGUAGGUGGGAUCAUAGGACCGUGUGUGCAAUAGUUUUUGUCAGUCACUUGGAUUUAAUCCUAGCUCUGCAACUGGCUGUGUUUAAUCUAGUCUUAGAGUUAUAAGUCUCAGAAUUUAUAAUUUUAAAAUAGGAAUGAUGAUAAUAGUUUUCUCAUGGGGUUGUUAGAAUGAAAGGAAUUUGCCUGUAAAUGACUAAGAAAGAUAGUAACUGCACUCUACUGCUACAUGGAAUGAGUGUGUCUUUGACUUUUCCUUCAGCAGGUUCUUUUUCCGAAUAUUGGCAUUUGUCCAGUUGAUUGGGGACACAUUUAACUACAAGUUUAUGUACUACUACUAUAAACUUCAUCACUCUUAAUGUACACAUUUUAAAAUCUGCUGUUGGGGACUAGCAAGAUGGCGCAGCAGAUGAAGGGGCUCACUACCAAGGGCUGAUGGAUACUCUUGGUUUUAAGCUACAGGACCUGUGUGGUAGAAAAAGAAAAUCAGUUGUCAUAAGCUGUCCUCUGGCCUCUAUACUUGGCACUACUCCAUGCUAGUGUCCAUAGAUAGAUAGAUAGAUAGAUAGAUAGAUAGAUAAAUAAAUAAAUAAGGAGUAAAAUCUACUGUUAAUUAUUAAACCAACAUAAUAAAUCUCUUUAACUCAGAUACACCUGGACCACUUUUUACCUUGGGAAUUAGAACACUUGUAAAUAAUAUGCUAAUUACAAUCAGUACUUAUGGAGCUGGGUUAAAUGGUUUGCCUCUUGAUGGAGUUUAGUGUCCUUUAAGCUUCUACUGUUGAUGGUGGGUUACGCUAAGAGGAGAGAGCAACCCUAAACCAUUUUACAGGCUAAUAGUUUACCUGUAGACAUAUUUUGAAUCACUAAAAAACUGAAAUUUUUGAUGAAUUUAAGUAUUCUAUUAUUGAUUCUUCAUACUAUUAAUAUUUUAUUGAUAUCAAUUAUUAAUAGCACUGAUGGUUGUACUAUUAAUGUUUCAUUGUUACGUGUUUUAUUAUUGCUGAUUAUUAUGAUUAUGGUUAUUAAAUUUAAGUGACAUUUUAAAAUUCUGGUGCUGAGAGAUGGCUCCAUUGAUAAAAUACUUGCUGGGCGAGCAUGAGUAUAAGAGUUCAGAUCAGCAGAGGUCACAUAAACCUGGCUUUAGUGGUGCUCAUGCCUGUAACACCCGCACUCGGGGAGUGGCCAGCCAGUCGAGCUGAAUGGGUGAGCGCCACAUUUCAGUGAGAGACCCUGUCUUAAAAUAAAAAAUAAAAUAAAAUAAAGAACAGAGGAAAGGCCCAGUGUUAACCUCUGGCUUCCACAAGCAUUCACACUAGUGAGCUCACACAAACACACACACACACACACACACACACAUACAUAUAUACACACACACCAAUACACAAAUUCUACCUGUUCUUUAAGAAUAUGCUGUAUUAACUUUUAAGGUAAAUAAAUAAAAUAGAAUUAUUUCUUUUUAAAAACAUUUUUCUGC
rnacentral:lncRNA from 1 species